rnacentral:rRNA from 1 species
CCUACGGGAGGCAGCAGUAGGGAAUCUUCGGCAAUGGACGAAAGUCUGACCGAGCAACGCCGCGUGAGUGAAGAAGGUUUUCGGAUCGUAAAGCUCUGUUGUUGUUAAAGAACGUUGAUGAGAGUGGAAAGUUCAUCAAGUGACGGUAAACAACCAGAAAGGGACGGCUAACUACGUGCCAGCAGCCGCGGUAAUA